rnacentral:rRNA from 1 species
GAUCCUGGCUCAGGACGAACGCUGGCGGCGUGCUUAACACAUGCAAGUCGAACGGGAUUUAGUAGACAGAAGCUUCGGUGGAAGAUUACUAAUGAGAGUGGCGAACGGGUGAGUAACGCGUGAGCAACCUGCCUAUGACAGUGGGAUAGCCUCGGGAAACCGGGAUUAAUACCGCAUAAAAUCGUAGAAACACAUGUUUUAACGGUCAAAGAUUUAUCGGUCAUAGAUGGGCUCGCGUCUGAUUAGCUAGUUGGUGAGAUAACAGCCCACCAAGGCGACGAUCAGUAGCCGGUCUGAGAGGAUGAACGGCCACAUUGGAACUGAGACACGGUCCAAACUCCUACGGGAGGCAGCAGUGAGGAAUAUUGGUCAAUGGGCGAGAGCCUGAACCAGCCAAGUAGCGUGCAGGAUGACGGCCCUAUGGGUUGUAAACUGCUUUUAUGUGGGGAUAAAGUGCGUGACGUGUCAUGCAUUGCAGGUACCACAUGAAUAAGGACCGGCUAAUUCCGUGCCAGCAGCCGCGGUAAUACGGAAGGUCCGGGCGUUAUCCGGAUUUAUUGGGUUUAAAGGGAGCGUAGGCUGUCUAUUAAGCGUGUUGUGAAAUUUACCGGCUCAACCGGUGGCUUGCAGCGCGAACUGGUCGACUUGAGUAUGCAGGAAGUAGGCGGAAUUCAUGGUGUAGCGGUGAAAUGCUUAGAUAUCACGAAGAACUCCGAUUGCGAAGGCAGCUGACGGGAGCGCAACUGACGCUUAAGCUCGAAGGUGCGGGUAUCAAACAGGAUUAGAUACCCUGGUAGUCCGCACGGUAAACGAUGGAUGCCCGUUGUCAGGCUGUUUCAGCCUGGUGACCAAGCGAAAGCAUUAAGC